CACCAGGUGGCGCGGCGGAGGCGCCAGCGGAUUUGCGCCGCUUCGGGAGCGUUGUUUCGUUCCUUUGUGG
rnacentral:tRNA from 1 species